CCCUUAGAUGUCCGGGGCCGCACGCGCGCUACACUGAAGGAAUCAGCGUGGCUUUCUCCCUGACCCGAAAGGGUUGGGAAACCCGUUGAAUCUCCUUCGUGAUAGGGAUUGGGGCUUGAAAUUGUUCCCCAUGAACGAGGAAUUCCCAGUAAGCGCGAGUCAUAAGCUCGCGUUGAUUACGUCCCUGCCCUUUGUACACACCGCCCGUCGCACCUACCGAUUGAAUGGUCCGGUGAGGACUCGGGAUUGUGGUUUAGCUCCUUCAUUGGGGCCUGACUGCGAGAACUUGUCCGAACCUUAUCAUUUAGAGGAAGGUGAAGUCGUAACA
rnacentral:rRNA from 1 species